rnacentral:rRNA from 1 species
GACGUCGCAUGCUCCCGGCCGCCAUGGCGGCCGCGGGAAUUCGNNNCCGUCAAUUCAUUUGAGUUUUAACCUUGCGGCCGUACUCCCCAGGCGGUCUACUUAGCGCGUUAGCUUCGCUACGCACGUCUUAAAGACACACACAGCUAGUAGACAGCGUUUACGGUGUGGACUACCAGGGUAUCUAAUCCUGUUCGCUACCCACACUUUCGCACAUGAGCGUCAGUCUUUGGCCAGGGAGUCGCCUUCGCCACUGAUGUUCCUCCAGAUAUCUACGCAUUUCACCGCUACACCUGGAAUUCCACUCCCCUCUCCAAGACUCUAGUCGGCCAGUUCUAAAUGACCACCCCAGGUUGAGCCCGGGGCUUUCACAUCUAGCUUAACAAACCGCCUGCGUGCGCUUUACGCCCAGUAAUUCCGAUUAACGCUCGCACCCUCCGUAUUACCGCGGCUGCUGACACGGAGUUAGCCGGUGCUUCUUCUGUUGUUAACGUCACGGCUAGCAGGUAUUAACUACUAACUUUUCCUCACAACUGAAAGUGCUUUACAACCCGAAGGCCUUCUUCACACACGCGGCAUGGCUGCAUCAGGGUUUCCCCCAUUGUGCAAUAUUCCCCACUGCUGCCUCCCGUAGGCAAUCACUAGUGAAUUCGCGGCCGCCUGCAGGUCGACCAUAUGGGAGAGCUCCCAACGCGUUGGAUGCAUAGCUUGAGUAUUCUAUAGUGUCACCUAAAUAGCUUGGCGUAAUCAUGGUCAUAGCUGUUUCCUGUGUGAAAUUGUUAUCCGAUCACAAUUCCACACAACAUACGAGCCGGAAGCAUAAAGUGUAAAGCNNNNNGUGCCUAAUGAGUGNNNUAACUCACAUUAAUUGCGUUGCGCUCACUGCCCGCUUUCCAGUCG